rnacentral:rRNA from 1 species
GGGUUGUGAGGUUAAGCGACUAAGCGUACACGGUGGAUGCCCUGGCAGUCAGAGGCGAUGAAGGGCGUGCUAAUCUGCGAUAAGCGCCGGUAAGGUGAUAUGAACCGUUAUAACCGGCGAUACCCGAAUGGGGAAACCCAGUGUGAUUCGUCACACUAUCAUUAACUGAAUCCAUAGGUUAAUGAGGCGAACCGGGGGAACUGAAACAUCUAAGUACCCCGAGGAAAAGAAAUCAACCGAGAUUCCCCCAGUAGCGGCGAGCGAACGGGGAGGAGCCCAGAGCCUGAAUCAGCAUGUGUGUUAGUGGAAGCGUCUGGAAAGGCGCGCGAUACAGGGUGACAGCCCCGUACACAAAAGCGCAUGUGCUGUGAGCUCGAUGAGUAGGGCGGGACACGUGGUAUCCUGUCUGAAUAUGGGGGGACCAUCCUCCAAGGCUAAAUACUCCUGACUGACCGAUAGUGAACCAGUACCGUGAGGGAAAGGCGAAAAGAACCCCGGCGAGGGGAGUGAAAAAGAACCUGAAACCGUGUACGUACAAGCAGUGGGAGCACCCUUCGGGGUGUGACUGCGUACCUUUUGUAUAAUGGGUCAGCGACUUAUAUUCUGUAGCAAGGUUAACCGUAUAGGGGAGCCGGAGGGAAACCGAGUCUUAAUUGGGCGUUAAGUUGCAGGGUAUAGACCCGAAACCCGGUGAUCUAGCCAUGGGCAGGUUGAAGGUUGGGUAACACUAACUGGAGGACCGAACCGACUAAUGUUGAAAAAUUAGCGGAUGACCUGUGGCUGGGGGUGAAAGGCCAAUCAAACCGGGAGAUAGCUGGUUCUCCCCGAAAGCUAUUUAGGUAGCGCCUCGUGAAUUCAUCUCCGGGGGUAGAGCACUGUUUCGGCUAGGGGGCCAUCCCGGCUUACCAACCCGAUGCAAACUGCGAAUACCGGAGAAUGUUAUCACGGGAGACACACGGCGGGUGCUAACGUCCGUCGUGAAGAGGGAAACAACCCAGACCGCCAGCUAAGGUCCCAAAGUCAUGGUUAAGUGGGAAACGAUGUGGGAAGGCCCAGACAGCCAGGAUGUUGGCUUAGAAGCAGCCAUCAUUUAAAGAAAGCGUAAUAGCUCACUGGUCGAGUCGGCCUGCGCGGAAGAUGUAACGGGGCUAAACCAUGCACCGAAGCUGCGGCAGCGAACGUAUCACCCAAGACAACUUUACGGAGUUGACGAUUGACGGAGCGAAGCGACGUCAAAGCGUUCAUUAAAGUCGAGUUGGCUUAGGGAUACGUUCGUUGGGUAGGGGAGCGUUCUGUAAGCCUGCGAAGGUGACCUGUGAGGGUUGCUGGAGGUAUCAGAAGUGCGAAUGCUGACAUAAGUAACGAUAAAGCGGGUGAAAAGCCCGCUCGCCGGAAGACCAAGGGUUCCUGUCCAACGUUAAUCGGGGCAGGGUGAGUCGACCCCUAAGGCGAGGCCGAAAGGCGUAGUCGAUGGGAAACGGGUUAAUAUUCCCGUACUUGGUGUUACUGCGAAGGGGGGACGGAGAAGGCUAUGUUGGCCGGGCGACGGUUGUCCCGGUUUAAGCGUGUAGGUGUGUGUUCCAGGUAAAUCCGGUUCACUUUAACACUGAGGCGUGAUGACGAGGCACUACGGUGCUGAAGCAACAAAUGCCCUGCUUCCAGGAAAAGCCUCUAAGCAUCAGGUAACAUCAAAUCGUACCCCAAACCGACACAGGUGGUCAGGUAGAGAAUACCAAGGCGCUUGAGAGAACUCGGGUGAAGGAACUAGGCAAAAUGGUGCCGUAACUUCGGGAGAAGGCACGCUGACACGUAGGUGAAGUGAUUUACUCACGGAGCUGAAGUCAGUCGAAGAUACCAGCUGGCUGCAACUGUUUAUUAAAAACACAGCACUGUGCAAACACGAAAGUGGACGUAUACGGUGUGACGCCUGCCCGGUGCCGGAAGGUUAAUUGAUGGGGUCAGCGCAAGCGAAGCUCCUGAUCGAAGCCCCGGUAAACGGCGGCCGUAACUAUAACGGUCCUAAGGUAGCGAAAUUCCUUGUCGGGUAAGUUCCGACCUGCACGAAUGGCGUAAUGAUGGCCAGGCUGUCUCCACCCGAGACUCAGUGAAAUUGAACUCGCUGUGAAGAUGCAGUGUACCCGCGGCAAGACGGAAAGACCCCGUGAACCUUUACUAUAGCUUGACACUGAACAUUGAGCCUUGAUGUGUAGGAUAGGUGGGAGGCUUUGAAGUGUGGACGCCAGUCUGCAUGGAGCCGACCUUGAAAUACCACCCUUUAAUGUUUGAUGUUCUAACGUGGACCCGUAAUCCGGGUUGCGGACAGUGUCUGGUGGGUAGUUUGACUGGGGCGGUCUCCUCCUAAAGAGUAACGGAGGAGCACGAAGGUUGGCUAAUCCUGGUCGGACAUCAGGAGGUUAGUGCAAUGGCAUAAGCCAGCUUGACUGCGAGCGUGACGGCGCGAGCAGGUGCGAAAGCAGGUCAUAGUGAUCCGGUGGUUCUGAAUGGAAGGGCCAUCGCUCAACGGAUAAAAGGUACUCCGGGGAUAACAGGCUGAUACCGCCCAAGAGUUCAUAUCGACGGCGGUGUUUGGCACCUCGAUGUCGGCUCAUCACAUCCUGGGGCUGAAGUAGGUCCCAAGGGUAUGGCUGUUCGCCAUUUAAAGUGGUACGCGAGCUGGGUUUAGAACGUCGUGAGACAGUUCGGUCCCUAUCUGCCGUGGGCGCUGGAGAACUGAGGGGGGCUGCUCCUAGUACGAGAGGACCGGAGUGGACGCAUCACUGGUGUUCGGGUUGUCAUGCCAAUGGCACUGCCCGGUAGCUAAAUGCGGAAGAGAUAAGUGCUGAAAGCAUCUAAGCACGAAACUUGCCCCGAGAUGAGUUCUCCCUGAGACUUAGAGUCUCCUGAAGGAACGUUGAAGACGACGACGUUGAUAGGCCGGGUGUGUAAGCGCAGCGAUGCGUUGAGCUAACCGGUACUAAUGAACCGUGAGGCUUAACCUUACAACGCCGAAG